rnacentral:ncRNA from 1 species
UAAAGUUUUGGUCCUAAACUUACUGUUAUUUUUNAUCAAAUUUACACAUGCAAGUACCAGCACACCAGUGAGAAUGCCCAACAAAUUACAGGAGCAGGCAUCAGGCACAGUUAAUCUAGCCCAAGACGCCUUGUUUUACCACACCCACACGGGCAACCAGCAGUGAUAAACAUUAAGCAAUAAGCGCCAAGCUUGACUUAGUUAUGAACAAUAGGGCCGGUAAACCUCGUGCCAGCCACCGCGGUUAUACGAGGGGCUCAAAAUAACAGAUACUCGGCGUAAAUCGUGGCUAGAAUUACUUCCAAACUACAAAGAAAACAAAUAAAACCAAAAGGUAAAAUUAUGGUCAACAGAAUAACAACAUCUUAUAAAUAGGAAAUUUGACCCCACGAAGACUAAGAAACAAACUAGGAUUAGAUACCCUACUAUGCUUAGUUCUAAAUAAGAUUGAUUUAACAAUAAUAUCCGCCAGGGAACUACAAGCGAAAAGCUUAAAACCCAAAGGACUUGGCGGUGCUCCACAUCGACUUAGAGGAGCCUGUCCUAUAAUCGAUACUCCACGAUAAACCUUACCGCCCUUGGCCCAAUGAGCCUAUAUACCGCCGUCGCAAACUUACUCCAUGAGGAUAUAACAGUAAGUACAAAAGUUAGACAACUAAUACGUCAGGUCAAGGUGUAGCUUAUAGGGCGGCAGUGAUGGGCUACAUUUUUUAAGAUAAAACACACGACAAGAGGCCAUGAAAUAGGCCACCGAAGGUGGAUUUAAUAGUAAGCCUAGCAAGAAAGCUAACCUUAAACUCGCACUGGAGCGCGCACACACCGCCCGUCACCCUCCUCAACAAAGUAUCAAUAAUCUAUAAUACCUAACAACAAACAAGAUGAGGCAAGUCGUAACAUGGUAAGCGCACCGGAAGGUGUGCUUGGACUA